GGGGUAAUAGCUCAGUGGUAGAGUGUGUGCUUAGCAUGCACAAGGUCCUGGGUUCUAUCCCCAGUACCUCCA
rnacentral:tRNA from 1 species